UCACGUCUUUAUCUUCAAGCUCCAUCUCGUCUUCUCUCUUGGAAAUCAAAGACAAGGGCGGGGGGGCAACAUGGAGAGGGUUGCGCUACUCUGCUCCUUAUCUUGCGCCAGCACUAUCUGAAGGCGCCUUCUCUCCUCACCACGCUCCUUGUCUCGCCUCUUCUCCUCCAACAUCUGCAGGCCCCGGAGGUCACAACAGUUCUUCCCCUACACUGUGUUGACUCUCCACUUUUGGCGGAAGCACCCCACACCGCUGCUAUGCUUGGGGCGGGGCUUUCCUAUAACUUCCAUCCGUGCAGUCUCCACCUCCCUUGUCGAAAGAGGUUAUUCAUAAAAAGCAAAAAGAAUAACGAUGCAUUAUAAAUAUUAUCACAGACUGUCUCGCAAGGGUUACAUCGACUUAGAGGCUGAAUUGGUAAGCUUCGAAGCAUUAUAUUUGUCAUUUUCAAGCAAGUAUUUAAUAUUAUGUAACUAAUCAUUUUUUUGGAAUUAUAGAGGGAGAAAAAAUUAAUUGUUGAAAAUGAGAAAGUUGAUAAAUCGUACUUUGGCGUAAAACACGCGAGUACAAAUCUGACAACAUAACAAAUAUGUAGAUAGCAGAAGUCGUUGAAAAAAAUUAUAAAUAUUUUUUUAUCUAAUUUUCAUAUUUCCUUGCUAAAUAAUAUUGAAAUUUUUGGAUUGAUUUGUUACAAUCCCAUAUUGUAGGAUAACUUGUUGGAAAAGAAAGUCAAAGGAGAGUUCAAAUCUCAAUUAUUUGAAUACUCAUAAGAAUGUUUUAAAAUAUUGUAGAAAAAUGUGCAACAUCAAUUAUUUUUUCCUUCGGAUGUUCAUGGUCAUCAAGACAAGUACAAGGAAAUUGAAAAAACAUUGCCGAUGGCAUGCAAGUAUAUCUACUCGUAUGUUAUCAGAUUGAUGCAUGAAGAUGAGAGUAUACACAGAAUUUGAUGAAGCUAUGUUUGGACCUCUUAAAAGUGUAUGGUUGCUAAGAGAAGAUAUCUUAUGCUUUAUGGAAUGAAAGAGAUAGGUGUCAAACAUAUUUUGAUUUACAUGGGGUAUGUUAUGUGUUAAAUACAAUAUUUGUUCAUAUGGUUUGCUUUGUUCACAAUAUUAGUUCACAUGCUUUUGCUUUGGUUUACAUUGGGUAUAUUUAUAUUUUUCAUUACUUUGUCAUUACCUUGUAAUUACCUUGCAGUUACCUUUACAAAUACUUGAAGAAAGAAAAAAGAGAUGAGUAUGUAUCAUUUGUAGAUCUUGGUCACAUACCUACAUGCGGUGUGGGUGAAGAAGGCAGUAAAUUGUCAUAACAUAUUGCUGCUCAGUUGAGAGCAUCGAACAGAGAUAGCAGAAAUUGUCCCAUAUAACAUUGGGUACCAUUGGAUCUUGACUAUAAUUAAUGAAGAUAAGAAUAUGAUAUAUUUAUUGGACUCUUUGAGUAAUAGGAACCGAGACUUUGCUUGGCAAACUAUUGUGACCAAUGGGGUUAAGAUAUACAAUGCAUCAAGGGGUAUUUCAAAAGGACCAGGUUUUAAACAAUUGAUAGUAUGUAUUGUGACUAUGUAUUUAGACAAUAAUUAAUAAUUUUUAUUAUUUGGAUUGUGACUUCUUGUAUGAUAUUUUCAAUUUCAUUAGGGUAAUGUUAAAUAAAAUGGUGGUGUUGAAUGUGAAUAUUGUGUGAUGCGGUACAUGAAAGAGAUACUCUUGGAUGAAGAUCCACAAUUGGAGAGAAAGGUGUAUUUUUUUCUUUAUGAAAUAUUUUCUUUAUAAAAUAUUGAAUCAUUUUUUAUCGAUCCUCAAACUUCUGUUAAUGUUUCAGUU